rnacentral:rRNA from 1 species
GACCUGCAUGAAAGAUGUAACGACUUAAAUGCUGUCUUGAAAAAAAUCUUAAUGAAAUAAAAAUAUCUGUGAAGAUACAGAUUUCUUAUAUUGGGACAGAAAGACCCUAUGAAGCUUUACUAUUAAUAAGUAUUGAAAAUAUAUAUAUAAAACAUAGUAUAAAUGGGAAAUAUAAAUAUUAUUUUUUUGGAAAUAAUGUAAUUAUAAAUGAAAUACCAUUUUUUAUAUAUAUAAAUUCUUAUAAAAAUUUUAUAACAAAUUUUUAAACAAUAUUUAUAAGAUAGUUUGACUGGGGCGGUCUCCUCCUAUAUAUAAACGGAGGAGUACAAUGUUAUAUUUAUUAUAUAAAGAUAUAUAUAUAAUUAACUGUAAAAUAUACAAAUUAAACAGAGAUUAAUGUCGGUCUUAAUGAUCCGAUAAUUAUUUAAUGAUAAAAUUAUCGCUUAACGGAUAAAAGUUACUCUAGGGAUAACAGGCUAAUCUUUUCCGAGAGCCCAUAUUGACGAAAAGGUUUGGCACCUCGAUGUCGGCUUAUCACAUCCUAAAGCAGUAGUAUGUUUUAAGGGUAAGUCUGUUCGCCUAUUAAAGCGAUAC